GUCUAGAAUGGAUCCUUUUAUUUUGCUAUAUAGGAUACCACUAAAGUUGGCCGUAAAAAGGCGGCCUCACCGCAAAGUAGUCGUAUUUCCAAGAUGUCUGUCAAGUCUGUCAAAGAAUGCUGAAGGGAACGAAUUUUUCUCGACGGUCCAGAAUGGGCUAAAGAUUAAAUAAAAUUAUAAGAGUGAAGCGAAUUGUCGUCAAUUGAAUUGGAACUAAAAACUGUUGCGAAAAUUCAGAUUGUUGAGCAAGGCGUUCAUGCCAGAAGGUUUACAUCCAAUAUUGCCCAGGGGGACAGUAAUUAGAACAAUUUCUUUAAGUUUGUGUGGACACAGAGGCUUGAAUGUAGAAAUCAAAGAGUGGACAUGCGUAUAAAAUAUCGCCAACAGACCAUGGACGGAUAAAGAGAAAAAUCUACUAUUGUGAUUGAAAGUUGAAAAUAAACAGCAAAUAAACUUCAAAUAGAAAUUUAAACAUACAAGAAGUAGGACCUUGACCAUGCCUCAACAACAUCAGGAACAAGAAGUCAAACAUGCAAUAUUAAUUCACAUGCUUGUAGCUAAUAGCACAUGAGCAUUAGCAAGUGAAGGAGAGAAACAAUAACUAAUGACCAUAAAAUUCUAUAUUGAUACUUAUCAAAAUUGGAUCCAUUCUGAACAACUUCAAGAGUCUAGCCAGCUCUAUUGAUACUUAAAAAUUGGAUCCAUUCUGGAAAUUGUAAGAGUCUAGCCAGCUCUAUUGAUACUAACCAUAAUUGGAUCCAUUCUGGAGAAUUUCAAGUGUGUAGCCAGCUCUAUUGAUAUUGACCAAAACUCGAUCCAUUCUGGACAUUUGCAAGAGUGUAUCCAGUCCUGUUGAAAUUGACCGAGUUUUGAUCCAUUCUGGACAUUUUCAAGAGUGAAGCCAGCUCUAUUGUUACUUACUAAAAUUGGAUCAAUUGUGGACACGUUCAAGAUUCUAGCUAGCUCUAUUGAUACUUACCAAAAUUUGAUCCAUUCGGGACAAUUUUAAGAGUCAAGCCAGCUGUAUUGGUACUCACCAAAAUUGGAUCCAUUCUGGACAACUUCAAGACUCUAACCAGCUCUCUUGAUACUUACCAAAAUUUGAUCUAUCUAUACAAAUUCAAGAGUCUAGCCAGCUCUAUUGAUACUUACCAAAAUUGGAUCCAUUCUGGACAAUUUCAAGAGUCUAGCAAGCUCUAUUGAUACUUACCGAAAAUGGAUCCAAUCUAGGCAAUUUCAAGAGUCAAGCCAGCUCUCUUGAUACUUACCAAAAUUGGAUCCAUUCUGGACAAUUUCAAGAGUCUAGCCAGCUCUAUUGAUAAUUACCAAAAUUGGAUCCAUUCUUAACAAUAUCAAGUGUCUAGCCAGCUUUAUUGAUACUUACCAAAAUUGGAUCCAAUUUUGGACAAUUUCAAGAGUCUAGCCAGCUCUAUUGAUACUGACCAAAAUUGGAUCCAUUCUGGACAAUUUCAAGAGUAUAGCCAGAUCUAUUGAUACUUACAAAAAUUGGAUCCAUUCUGGACAAUUUCAAGAGUCUAGCCAGCUCUAUUGAUAUUUUCCAAAAUUGGAUCCAUUCUGGACAAUUUCAAGAGUCUAGCCAGCUCUAUUGAUACUGACCGAAACUGGAUCCAUUCUGGAAAUUUGCAAGAGUGUAUCCAGUCCUGUUGAAAUUGACCGAAUUUGGAUCCAUUCUGGACAUUUUCAAGAGUGUACCCAGCACUAUUGUUACUUGCCAAAUUGGAUCCAUUCUAUAAAAUUUCAAGAGUCUAGCCUGCACUAUUGAUACUUAACAAAAUUGGAUCCAAUCUGGACAUUUUCAAGUGUUUAGCCAGCCUUGUUGAUACUGACCGAAUUUGGAUUCAUUCUGUACAUUGUCAAAAUAUUUUUGAUUGAUCAUAUAAUGUCCCAGGGAUGAAAAUAAGCCACACCUUUUUGCUUUUUAUUAAAGGGGCCUUUUCAAGUUUUUGUAAAUUGUCAAAAUUGUUUCAGAUUUUUAUGUCGCCCACCACUAUAGUGGUUUAUAAAAUUAUAAAUUGUUGCAAUGCAAAACGAUUGAAUAAUAUGGAAAGUUCUGUUGUCGUUGUUAUAUUUUGUGAAACUACGAGAAUUGCUUAUAUAAAGUAUAAAAUACCUUCCACAUUGUAUGACCACAAAUGACCGAGUGGUCAAAGCAGUAGACUUUUUCUCCAGUACUCCAGUUGUCAGUGGUUCUAUCCCUGUUGAGGGUUCAACCAAGAUUUGAUUUUCAAUUUGUGUCUAGUUAUACACUGGGGACCAUGGCGUUUUCCUUAUAUGCAUGUUAUAAAAACUAUUAUUAUCCUAUGACCUAAACAACAAAGAUAAGGAGCCUGCAAUUGAGGUUGCAUCUGAAUAUUGUAUGGUAUUUGUUUGAACGACACAGGCCCUCUGGGACCUAUUUAAAAAACAUUAUUGAUCCAUUUUUUAUCUUUAACAACUUUUAUAAUUUUUCUCAGUACAUACUCCGGUUUGACUUGAAACAUACAAACUAGUGAAAAUAAUAAGUACUGCCAUAAUUACCAUGGCAAUGUGUUGUUGUUUUUGGUUAAAGGCCAAUGUGCAGACUUACUACUAAAUGAUGAAACAAUGAUGUAAUGUUACUGUUUUAAAUUUGAGAAAGUAUGUGUUUUUAUAUUCUUAGCAUUUUUAUUUAUUUUUCAUGUAAAAUAUACACUUUUGAAAAAUGGUGUUUUAUAACUGUUAAGUUAAGUACACUGGUAUUUCAGUUUGGUUAUGUAGCGGGGUUUGUGUAUUGACACAAGGGGUUAUAGUUGCCAACUUUUAUUAAGCCUCCCUUUGAAGAAGAGGGGGUAUAUUGUUUUGCACAUGUCGGUCCGUCUGUUCGUCCACCAGAUGGUUUCCGGAUGAGAAUGCUUAGGCCUAGGAUCAUGUAACUUCAUAGGAACAUUGAUCAUGACUGGCAGAUGACCCAUAUUGAUUUUCAGGUCACUAGGUCAAAGGUCAUGGGCACAGUGACUGGAAAUAGUAAAAUGGUUUCCGGAUGAUAACUCAAGAAUGCUUACGCCUAGGAUCAUGAAACUUCAUAUGUACAUUGAUCAUGACUGGCAAAUGACCCUUUCGAUUUUCAGGUCACUAGGUCAAAGGUCAAGGUCACAGUGACUCGAAACAGUAAAAUGGUUUCCGGAUGAUAAUUCAAGAAUGCAUACGCCCAAUUUUAAUUACCGGUAUAUAAUUGAUAAUGGUAUGAAAUAUAAUAACAUAAAGUAUUAUAAGUAUUAUCAUAAAUUAUAAAUCAGAUAAUUGAUAAAUACAAUAUCAUUCAAAUAAUAUAAUGAUUACAAUUUUAACAAGUAUACAAGUAAAUACGCUUAAAAUAAUAAAAUGACUCACCAGUAACCAUAUGAAGAAAGAAACUAAAGAGAGUAGGUUUAAGCAAAUGAAAAAUGCUUGUACCUCUUGCAAGGUUUAGUAACGAAAUGAAUCAAAUGUUUCAGAUAUAUAAAACCAUAAAUAUGUAUCUGAAAUCAGCUCACCUAAAAAGCAUUCUCCAUUAAUAAUAUACGGUAGCUCACUCAUUCAUCACACUGAAUCUCUCUUGAUUGGAUAAGUAGUUAUAAUUAUUUAUAAAACUGGUGUUUUGUUUUGUUUUCAUUGUGUUGCCUUUUUGCUUUUUGCUUUCUCUGAGAAAUUUGCAUCUUGAUUUUUUUCAUUUGCUUUAUUAGGUUUGCAUUCUGACGCUUUUUUUGCUUUUGCUUUCUUUGAGCUUAACAGUAUGUAUAUAUAAUACUAGUGACACUACAACAGUUUGCUGUUGUUGUCUUAUUUCGUUCAUUUCAUUAAUUUUGAUAUCUUGUUGAAGAACUUGUAGUACUGUAUGUAUGUACAUGUAGCAUUAAUCAAUGCUUCUUUGCUCAUCAUUUGCCUUUGAAGCUCUGAAAUAGUGCUAGUUACACAUGCGGGAUAAUCAUUUCAGCAUUAGUAUUGUAUUAUUUUGCUUUUAUAAUUAUAUUUUAUUUUUUAUUCAUCAGUGUUGUAUUGUUUUGCUUAUAUUGUGUGAAAUUUGUUGAUCAUUUUCCUUCAAAUCUGGUUUGAGAUGAUAAUUUCCUUUAAGCCCUUUUUAUUUUGUGGCACUAUUGUGUUCUAUUUUCUCUGUAAGCAUUUUUACACCAUUUCUUUUUAUGGUACCUUGUGUCAACAUCAAAAAUCUUUUAAACAGCUCUUAAUUUUGAAUGUAUAGUACUGAUAUUAUAUUUCUGCUUACAUUUGAAUAAUGUCCUAUAGGAAUACUGCUUUAAUUGUGUUUUUAUUGUGCUUUAUUAGAAUAACUAUUUCUUAUGUAUGCCAUGUAUUAUUGAUGUGUUGCAAUUUGUUACUGCUUGUUAGUUCGGUAAACAGCUAUACAUAGCAUAUGUUAUAUACAUGUUAUUUCAUACUGACAAUAAAUUCGUUUUGAUGUGAUUUGAUUAAG